rnacentral:rRNA from 1 species
GACGAACGCUGGCGGCGUGCUUAACACAUGCAAGUCGAACGGAAAGGCCCUGCUUUUGUGGGGUGCUCGAGUGGCGAACGGGUGAGUAACACGUGAGUAACCUGCCCUUGACUUUGGGAUAACUUCAGGAAACUGGGGCUAAUACCGGAUAGGAGCUCCUGCUGCAUGGUGGGGGUUGGAAAGUUUCGGAGGUUGGGGAUGGACUCGCGGCUUAUCAGCUUGUUGGUGGGGUAGUGGCUUACCAAGGUUUUGACGGGUAGCCGGCCUGGGAGGGUGACCGGCCACAUUGGGACUGGGAUACGACCCGGACUCCUACGGGAGGCAGCGGUGGGGAAUAUUGCACAAUGGGCGGAAGCCUGGUGCAGCAACGCCGCGUGCGGGAUGACGGCCUUCGGGUUGUAAACCGCUUUCGCCUGUGACGAAGCGUGAGUGACGGUAAUGUGUAAAGAAGCACCGGCUAACUACGUG